rnacentral:rRNA from 1 species
CUACCUGCAGUCGCACGAGAAAGCGGGAGCAAUCUCGCAAGUAAAGUGGCGUACGGGUGAGUAACACGUGGGUAAUCUACCUUUUAGUGGGGAAUAACGCUGGGAAACCGGCGCUAAUACCGCAUAAUCUCGAGAGAGGAAAGCAGCAAUGCGCUGAAAGAGGAGCCCGCGGCCGAUUAGCUGGUUGGUAGGGUAAAAGCCUACCAAGGCAUAGAUCGGUAGCCGGCCUGAGAGGGCACACGGCCACACUGGCACUGAAACACGGGCCAGACUCCUACGGGAGGCAGCAGUGGGGAAUCUUGCACAAUGGGGGAAACCCUGAUGCAGCGACGCCGCGUGAGCGAUGAAGCCCUUCGGGGUGUAGAGCUCUUUCGGCAGGGACGAUAAUGACGGUACCUGCAGAAGCAGCUGCGGCUAACUACGUGCCAGCAGCCGCGGUAAUACGUAGGCAGCGAGCGUUGUUCGGAGUUACUGGGCGUAAAGGGUGUGUAGGCGGUUUUCUAAGUUUGGUGUGAAAUCUCCCGGCUCAACCGGGAGGGUGCGCCGAAAACUGGGAGACUAGAGUGCGGGAUGGGAGAGUAGAAUUCCUGGUGUAGCGGUGAAAUGCGUAGAUAUCAGGAGGAAUACCGGUGGUGUAGACGGCUCUCUGGACCGCCACUGACGCUGAAACACGAAAGCGUGGGUAGCAAACAGGAUUAGAUACCCUGGUAGUCCACGCCCUAAACGAUGCAUAUUUGGUGUAGGUCAUUCAGUUGAUCUGUGCCGGAGCUAACGCGUUAAAUAUGCCGCCUGGGGAGUACAGUCGCAAGGCUGAAACUCAAAGGAAUUGACGGGGGCCCGCACAAGCGGU